rnacentral:tRNA from 1 species
AAGGCCGUAGCGCAGAGGUCGUCGCGCCCAAACGUCAAGUAGGAGGACGCCGGUUCGAAUCCGGUCGGUCUUGCCA